GACGAACGCUGGCGGCGUGCUUAACACAUGCAAGUCGAACGGAAAGGCCCUGCUUUUGUGGGGUGCUCGAGUGGCGAACGGGUGAGUAACACGUGAGUAACCUGCCCUUUGCUUUGGGAUAACUUCAGGUAAAUGGGGCUAAUAACGGAUAGUAGCUCCGCCUGCCUGGAGGGGGUGGCCAAGUUGCGGCGGUCGGGGAUGGACUCGCGGGUUAUCAGAUCGUUGGUGGGGGAGUGGCUUUCAAAGACUUUGACGGAUCGCCGGCCUGAGAGGGGUGCCGGCCACAUUGGGACUGAGAGACGGCGCAGUCUGGUACGGGAGGCAGCAGGGGGGAAUAUGGCACAAUGGGCGGAAGCCUGAGGCAGCAACGCCGGGUGCGGGAUGACGGCCUUCGGGUGGGAAACCGAUUUCGCCUGUGACGAAGCGUGAGUGACGGUAAUGGGUAAAGAAGCACCGGCUAACUACGUG
rnacentral:rRNA from 1 species